rnacentral:rRNA from 1 species
UGGGGAAUUUUGGACAAUGGGCGAAAGCCUGAUCCAGCAAUGCCGCGUGUGUGAAGAAGGCCUUCGGGUUGUAAAGCACUUUUGUCCGGAAAGAAAUCCUUGGCUCUAAUACAGUCGGGGGAUGACGGUACCGGAAGAAUAAGCACCGGCUAACUACGUGCCAGCAGCCGCGGUAAUACGUAGGGUGCAAGCGUUAAUCGGAAUUACUGGGCGUAAAGCGUGCGCAGGCGGUUUGCUAAGACCGAUGUGAAAUCCCCGGGCUCAACCUGGGGAACUGCAUUGGGUGACUGGCAGGCUAGAGUAUGGCAGAGGGGGGUAGAAUUCCACGUGUGAGCAGUGAAAUGCGUAGAGAUGUGGAGGAAUACCGAUGGCGAAGGCAGCCCCCUGGGCCAAAUACUGACGCUCAUGCACGAAAGCGU